GAUGAAGAACGUAGCGAAAUGCGAUACGUAAUGUGAAUUGCAGAAUUCAGUGAAUCAUCGAGUCUUUGAACGCACAUUGCGCCCCCUGGUAUUCCGGGGGGCAUGCCUAUCCGAGCGUCAUUGCAGCCCUCAAGCACGGCUUGUGUGUUGGGCCUCCGUCCUCCUCCCGGGGGACGGGCCCGGAAGGCAGCGGCGGCACCGCGUCCGGUCCUCGAGCGUAUGGGGCUUCGUCACCCGCUCUUGUAGGCCCGGCCGGCGCUUGCCGACACAUCAAUCUUUUUUCCAGGUUGACCUCGGAUCAGGUAGGGAUACCCGCUGAACUUAAGCAUAUCAAUAAGCGGAGGA
rnacentral:misc_RNA from 1 species